rnacentral:tRNA from 1 species
GUUCUCGUAGUGUAGUGGUUAUCACGUCCGCCUAACACGCGGAAGGUCGCAGGAUCGAUCCCUGCCGAGAACA